rnacentral:rRNA from 1 species
GGGUUGUGAGGUUAAGCGACUAAGCGUACACGGUGGAUGCCCUGGCAGUCAGAGGCGAUGAAGGGCGUGCUAAUCUGCGAUAAGCGCCGGUAAGGUGAUAUGAACCGUUAUAACCGGCGAUACCCGAAUGGGGAAACCCAGUGUGAUUCGUCACACUAUCAUUAACUGAAUCCAUAGGUUAAUGAGGCGAACCGGGGGAACUGAAACAUCUAAGUACCCCGAGGAAAAGAAAUCAACCGAGAUUCCCCCAGUAGCGGCGAGCGAACGGGGAGGAGCCCAGAGCCUGAAUCAGCAUGUGUGUUAGUGGAAGCGUCUGGAAAGGCGCGCGAUACAGGGUGACAGCCCCGUACACAAAAGCGCAUGUGCUGUGAGCUCGAUGAGUAGGGCGGGACACGUGGUAUCCUGUCUGAAUAUGGGGGGACCAUCCUCCAAGGCUAAAUACUCCUGACUGACCGAUAGUGAACCAGUACCGUGAGGGAAAGGCGAAAAGAACCCCGGCGAGGGGAGUGAAAAAGAACCUGAAACCGUGUACGUACAAGCAGUGGGAGCACAGGUUUACCUGUGUGACUGCGUACCUUUUGUAUAAUGGGUCAGCGACUUAUAUUCUGUAGCAAGGUUAACCGUAUAGGGGAGCCGCAGGGAAACCGAGUCUUAAUUGGGCGUUAAGUUGCAGGGUAUAGACCCGAAACCCGGUGAUCUAGCCAUGGGCAGGUUGAAGGUUGGGUAACACUAACUGGAGGACCGAACCGACUAAUGUUGAAAAAUUAGCGGAUGACCUGUGGCUGGGGGUGAAAGGCCAAUCAAACCGGGAGAUAGCUGGUUCUCCCCGAAAGCUAUUUAGGUAGCGCCUCGUGAAUUCAUCUCCGGGGGUAGAGCACUGUUUCGGCUAGGGGGCCAUCCCGGCUUACCAACCCGAUGCAAACUGCGAAUACCGGAGAAUGUUAUCACGGGAGACACACGGCGGGUGCUAACGUCCGUCGUGAAGAGGGAAACAACCCAGACCGCCAGCUAAGGUCCCAAAGUCAUGGUUAAGUGGGAAACGAUGUGGGAAGGCCCAGACAGCCAGGAUGUUGGCUUAGAAGCAGCCAUCAUUUAAAGAAAGCGUAAUAGCUCACUGGUCGAGUCGGCCUGCGCGGAAGAUGUAACGGGGCUAAACCAUGCACCGAAGCUGCGGCAGCGAACGUAUCACUUAAAGCGAUUCAGCGGGUUACGAUUGACGGAGCGAAGCGACGUCAAAGCGUAUACAAAGUCGAGUCGGUUUAAGGAUACGUUCGUUGGGUAGGGGAGCGUUCUGUAAGCCUGUGAAGGUGGCCUGUGAGGGUUGCUGGAGGUAUCAGAAGUGCGAAUGCUGACAUAAGUAACGAUAAAGCGGGUGAAAAGCCCGCUCGCCGGAAGACCAA